rnacentral:rRNA from 1 species
CCUACGGGUGGCUGCAGUGGGGAAUAUUGGACAAUGGGCGAAAGCCUGAUCCAGCCAUGCCGCGUGUGUGAAGAAGGCCUUCGGGUUGUAAAGCACUUUCAGUUGGGAAGAAAGCCUUGGGGCUAAUACCCUCGAGGAAGGACAUCACCCACAGAAGAAGCACCGGCUAACUCCGUGCCAGCAGCCGCGGUAAUACGGAGGGUGCGAGCGUUAAUCGGAAUUACUGGGCGUAAAGCGCGCGUAGGCGGUCUGAUAAGCCGGUUGUGAAAGCCCCGGGCUCAACCUGGGAACGGCAUCCGGAACUGUCAGGCUAGAGUGCAGGAGAGGAAGGUAGAAUUCCCGGUGUAGCGGUGAAAUGCGUAGAGAUCGGGAGGAAUACCAGUGGCGAAGGCGGCCUUCUGGACUGACACUGACGCUGAGGUGCGAAAGCGUGGGUAGCAAACAGGAUUAGAUACCCUGGUAGUC